CUGCCGGUGGUAAAUUGAUGCACCCAGUGGGGGAGCCAGGAAGUAUUGAUGUUUCUGCCAGUUUAGCGUCAACACUUGCUGGUUUCCUCUCUGGAGCAUCACCAAGUUCGUGGAUUUUC
rnacentral:pre_miRNA from 8 species